rnacentral:rRNA from 1 species
GACGAACGCUGGCGGCGUGCCUAAUACAUGCAAGUCGAACGGCGCGGCGGACGGGUAAGUGAUGCCUAGGUAUCUGCCUGUUAGUGGUGGAUGACGUCCGGAAAUGGGCGCUAAUACCGCAUCCUAUCAGAUGCGCCUAGGUGGGAUUGGCUAGUUGGUGGGGUAAAGGCCUAGCAAGGCGACGAUCCGUAACUGGUCUGAGAGGAUGAUCAGUCACACUGGAACUGAGACACGGUCCAGACUCCUACGGGAGGCAGCAGUGGGGAAUAUUGGACAAUGGGCGAAAGCCUGAUCCAGCCAUGCCGCGUGUGUGAAGAAGGUCUUCGGAUUGUAAAGCACUUUAAGUUGGGAGGCGUUACCAACAGAAUAAGCACCGGCUAACUUCGUGCCAGCAGCCGCGGUAAUAC